rnacentral:rRNA from 1 species
CCUACGGGAGGCUGCAGUGAGGAAUAUUGGUCAAUGGACGAGAGUCUGAACCAGCCAAGUAGCGUGAAGGAUGACUGCCCUAUGGGUUGUAAACUUCUUUUAUAAAGGAAUAAAACGAGGCACGUGUGCCUUUCUGCAUGUACUUUAUGAUUAAGGAUCGGCUAACUCCGUCCCAGCAGCCGCGGUAAUACGGAGGAUCCGGGCGUUACCCGGUUUUAUUGGGUUUAAGGGGAGCGUAGAUGGGUUGUUAGGUCAGUUGUAAAAGUUCGCGGCUCAACGGGUGAAUUGCAAUUGAUACUGGCAGUCUUGAGUACAGUUGAGGUAGGCGGAAUGCGUGGUGUAGCGGUGAAAUGCUUAGAUAUCACGAAGAACCCCGAUUGCGAAGGCAGCUUACUAAACUGUGACUGACAUUGAUGCACGAAAGUGUGGGUAUCAAACAGGAUUAGAUACCCGAGUAGUC